rnacentral:misc_RNA from 1 species
GAAGGUAUUCUCUUUCCUUGUAACGAUGAAUUUCAUUUCUUUAUUCGUAUUAUGAAUAAGAUUACAAAAUAAAAAAAAAAUCUACAAAAUAAAAAGAUGACAAUAAAUAAAAACCAAAUUUCUUCUAAUAUUACAGUGAUUACAGGAAAUACAUCAGCCUCCCAUCCUCAAUGUCUGACUAUAUGGGGUACAGUCUUCCCCCUGUCUGAAAUUAUGAAAACAGAUCUUGGUUUAAUCUAUGUUAGGAACUAAAUCAUCAUCUUCGCAGAUUCUCUUUUAACUUCCAUCUACCUCUUCUUUCUAAACUAGCUUCAUGCAUUCUUCUUUAACCUUUAUGCACCUCUUCUAUUUCAAUAAAUAUAUGCUCGAGGUUAGUCCUUACCAAGGUGGGUGGUCCUGC